GAUUCAAGUGGGAGACCCUGCCUCAAUAUAUAAGGUAGAAAAGAACAAUAGAAGAUAGUCAAUGUCACCUCUGUCUUCUGUAUGUUAGUGCGUGUGCGCACGCACACAUGCAUGCACACACACAUGCACACACACGCACGUGCACACAUACACACAUAUCCAUUUGGGAAGAAAAAAAGCUUGGUUUCAUAUGCUGACUGCUCCUCUACCUGUUAGCUGUGUGACAUUGGUCAAGGUCCAUAGCCUCUCCAUGCCUUGUUUUCUUCAUCUGUAAAUGGAAAUGGUAGCAGUGUAUAUUUCAGGGUGUUGGUAUAAGCAGUGUACGAGUAAAUAUCCAUAACAAUUAUAAUAAAAACAACUUAGUGCCAAGACAAAAACAGAUGCUUGGCUAUAGACAAAAAGUAUACACUGGAAGAAAAACAGUGUCUGUUUAAAAAAAAAAAAAAACUGGCUAUUCACUAGAUUCUUGCUUCACCCUAUUUAUCAGUUCAAUAUAUAUCCAAUACCGCUGUGUUGCUUUGAAUGAGAGUGGUCCCAUGGGCUUAUAUAUCUGAAUACUUGGCCCCUAGUUGGUAGAACUAUUUGGGAAGGAUUAGGAGGUGUGGCCUUGUUGGAGGAGGUGUGUCACUGGUGGGCUUUGAGGCUUCAAAAGUUCAAGCUCAUGUUUGUAGAUUAGAUAAAGGCUCCCAACUACUACUCCAGCACCAAGCCUGCCUGCCUGCCUGCCUGCUGCCUGCCUGCCUGCUGCCACACCCCUGGACAUGGUAGCUAUAGACUGACCCUCUAAAACUGUCAGCCCAAUAAACUUGUUCUUUUAUGAGUUACCUUGAUCAUGGAGUUUUGUCACAGCAAUAGAAAAGUAACCAGGAUAUAAGUUGGUAUCAAGGAAUGGGCUAUUACUGCAUGGCGGGCCAUGAUGGGCUUUGGAAGACUUUGGGACUUCGGACUAUAGUCAUCUUCCCACUGUGAUGAUCGUGGCCUUAAACCCUCUAGAACUGCGAGCUCCAGUAAGUGUUUUCUUUUGUGAGUUGCCUUGUCAUGGUAACUUCUUAUCAUAUUAAUAGAAAAGUAACUAAGAGAGUCAUAAUUCAAGACUUUAAACUGGUAGGAAAAAGAGGAGAAACAACUGAAGAGUAGGCAUAGGCAUUGACUUUCUGAGUAAGACUCCAGUCACUUAAGAAAUAAAGAACUGGGCUGGAGAGAUGGCUCAGUGGUUCAAAGCACUGACUACUCUUCCAGAGGUCCUGAGUUCAAUUCCCAGCAACCACAUCUCACAGCCAUCUGUAAUGAGAUCUGAUGCCCUCUUCUGGUGUACUUAUAUAUAAUAUCUAUCCUUUAAAAAAGAAAAAAGGAAAAAAAGAAAUGAACGGACACCAAGCAGUGGCGGCAGAUGCAGGAGGAGGAUCUCUGCUGAAUUCCAGGCCAGGUUAGUCUGUAGAGCAAGUUUCAGGACAGCCAGGACUACACAAAGAAACCCUGUCUCAGAAGGGGAAAGGGGGGAGGACAGAUUUGCAUCCAAUUAGAAAGCUUUUGCAUAGCAAACGACAUUGUUAACCAGAGCAGAAGAGAGAGU
rnacentral:lncRNA from 1 species